rnacentral:rRNA from 1 species
AUGUGCGAGAGCACGAUGAGGGGGUCCCAAGUGCUGGCACGUAAGUGUCAGCUGUUUCUUAGUCUAAAAAACUGAGAGAGUAAGAGCUGGGUAAGACGGGUGCCAGCCGCCGCGGUAAUACCUGCAGCUCAAGUGGUGGCCGCUAUUAUUGGGCCUAAAACGUCCGUAGCCGGUUUAGUAAAUGCCUGGGUAAAUUGUGUAGCUUAACUAUACGAAUUCCGGGUAGACUGCUAAACUUGGGACCGGGAGAGGCUAGAGGUACUCCUGGGGUAGAGGUGAAAUUCUGUAAUCCUAGGGGGACCACCAGUGGCGAAGGCGUCUAGCUAGAACGGGUCUGACGGUGAGGGACGAAGCCCUGGGGCGCAAACCGGAUUAGAUACCCGGGUAGUCCAGGGUGUAAACGCUGCUUGCUUGAUGUUAGUUGGGCUCCGAGCCCAACUAGUGUCGGAGAGAAGUUGUUAAGCAAGCUGCCUGGGAAGUACGGUCGCAAG